UGAACGCUAGCGGCAAGCCUAACACAUGCAAGUCGAACGGUAACUUUUGGUGCUUGCACCGAAAGACGAGUGGCGAACGGGUGCGUAACGCGUAUGCAAUCUACCUUUUACUAGGGUAUAGCCCGAAGAAAUUUGGAUUAAUCCCCUAUAAUAUCAUGAAUUCGCAUGAUUUUAUGAUUAAAGCUUCGGCGGUAAAAGAUGAGCAUGCGUCCUAUUAGUUAGUAGGUGAGGUAACGGCUCACCUAGACUACGAUAGGUAGGGGUCCUGAGAGGGAGAUCCCCCACACUGGUACUGAGACACGGACCAGACUCCUACGGGAGGCAGCAGUGAGGAAUAUUGGACAAUGGACGAAAGUCUGAUCCAGCUAUGCCGCGUGCAGGAUGACGGCCCUAUGGGUUGUAAACUGCUUUUAUACAGGAAGAAAAAAUCCGACGUGUCGGAUCUUGACGGUACUGUAAGAAUAAGGAUCGGCUAACUCCGUGCC
rnacentral:rRNA from 1 species